rnacentral:piRNA from 5 species
GAUAGCUCAGUCGGUAGAGCAUCAGA